AUUGAACGCUGGCGGCAUGCCUUACACAUGCAAGUCGAACGGCAGCGGGCCCUUCGGGGUGCCGGCGAGUGGCGAACGGGCGAGUAAUGCAUCGGAACGUACCCGGGAGAGGGGGAUAACCGGCCGAAAGGCUGGCUAAUACCGCAUGAACUCGGAAGAGCAAAGCGGGGGACCUUCGGGCCUCGCGCUCUCGGAGCGGCCGAUGUCCGAUUAGGCUAGUUGGUGGGGUAAAGGCCCACCAAGGCGACGAUCGGUAGCGGGUCUGAGAGGACGAUCCGCCACACUGGGACUGAGACACGGGCCAGACUCCUAAGGGAGGCAGCAGUGGGGAAUCUUGGACAAUGGGCGCAAGCCUGAUCCAGCAAUGCCGCGUGGGUGAAGAAGGCCUUCGGGUUGUAAAGCCCUUUCGGCGGGGAAGAAAUCGGUCAGGCGAAUAGUCUGGCCGGAUGACGGUACCCGCAGAAGAAGCACCGGCUAACUACGUG
rnacentral:rRNA from 1 species